rnacentral:rRNA from 1 species
GACGAACGCUGGCGGCGUGCCUAACACAUGCAAGUCGAGCGGGGUGGUUCUGAAGGGCAACCGGAGGGAUCACCUAGCGGCGAACGGGUGAGUAACGCGUGGAUAACCUACCUCAAGGUCUGGGAUAACAGCUCGAAAGGGCUGCUAAUACCGGAUGUGGUGCAUAUGCUGCAUGGUAGAUGCACUAAAGGGGAAACCCGCCAUGAGAUGGGUCCGCGUCCCAUCAGCUAGUUGGUGGGGUAAAGGCCUACCAAGGCGACGACGGGUAGCCGGCCUGAGAGGGUGACCGGCCACACUGGGACUGAGACACGGCCCAGACUCCUACGGGGGGCAGCAGUGGGGAAUAUUGCACAAUGGGCGAAAGCCUGAUGCAGCGACGCCGCGUGGGCGAAGAAGGCCUCGGGUUGUAAGCCUGUCUGGAGGGACGAAGUAAUGACGGUACCUCCGGAGGAAGCCACGGCUAACUAACGUG